CAUUGGCCACAAGCUCUCGUUAAUGGCUUACAUUCUUUGUGAUUCUUUUCCACCCUUCUAUCCAAAUCAUUUUUCUUUAUAAAUAUGAUUAUAUAUCCUUUGCAAAUUCAUCUUCACAAUAGCAGUUUCUUGUUUCUCUGAAAAAAAGGGGUCUUGAAAAGUUUAAAAAGGGAAGCAAAACGAAUCUCAUUUCUCCUCCUUGGUGAAUUGACUAGAGAUGUUACAUAGGCUGGAGUCCUUAGAAAGCUGUAACUAUAACGGGAUGGAAGCAAGGUUGAAAUGGCAGCAGCAAAACUAUGUGGUCCAAAACAACAAUCUUGUUGAACUAUGUGCAGGCUCAUUGCCUCAGUUUCAGGGUCUGAUUGGGAGCAAUUUAGGUGGUGCACAAAUGAUUGAGCUGAAAAGGCCAGAAGUUUUUCUGGGUAGUGUUGAUUUUCAGGAAUUUGUGAACUUUCCGGUAGUUGGACCAGAGUUUGGUGACAGUGAAAAGUUGGAUUUGGUGCCGCCAGAGGCUGCUACAAAUUACUGUAUUUUUCGGACUUCUAGCUGUCAGAUGUCAGCUCUCAAUACUUCUGUCAUGAAAGAGGAAAGAGAGGAUUUGAUUCUGGAGAAAAUGGAAUCCGCCACUGGCAUUGGCAGAGAGAGCUUUAACAAGAGAAAAGCUGAGGCUGUUGCAGACCAUAAAAGCAAAGAUAAGAGGAUUAAAGGGGAAGGGGAAUCUGAGGUGAAAGCAAACUGCAGUACUGAAAUUUCCAGGAAUUCUUCAAAGAAGAGCUCCAAGGCUUCUGAGGUUCUGAAACCGGAUUACAUUCAUGUAAGAGCACGUCGUGGUCAGGCUACAGACAGUCACAGCUUGGCUGAAAGAGCCAGAAGGGAAAAGCUCAGUAAGAAGAUGAAAUGCUUGCAAGAUCUAGUCCCUGGUUGCAAUAAAAUCACAAGUAAAGCUGGAAUGCUUGAUGAAAUAAUCAACUAUGUUCAAUCUCUCCAAAGACAAGUUGAGUUCUUGUCUAUGAAAAUUGCUGCUCUAAAUUCAAGUGUUGAAACCCUACCUAUGAAAGAGUUUCCUGCUUAUGUCGCCAAUUUUCCAGCAGCCGCUAAGUUACCUGAAACGGCCGAUUUGCCCUACUUUCAGUUGAAUCCAUUGCAAAAUCAAUCUGUAAAUUGCAUGUUAAAUGAGUCAAUGCUUCCUCCCCAAACAGGAGCUGAAGGAAUUGCAAGUCCUUCUGUUUCUAGCUCAUCCAGCAUGACUCAACUCCAACCAUUCUCAACUUGGAACACGGAUCCUCAAGGUCUUUCCAACAUGUACAAUAUGGGGUUUCAUUAAGGAUGAUCAACUAAUUUUUGCCUCCAACAUCAACAGAUACUAUUCCUGGAAUCAUAUAAAACUUCAAGAGGGAAUACAAUUACAAAUGCCACUAUUCCAAAGUAUGUUUGCCCAACGCAAUGAAUAUGGAUGUCUUUAUUGGCUGUGAAAGGAGAGAAAGCAUAAAGGACCACACUAAGACUACCCUAAAAAAAGGCUGAUGGGGAUAGAAAAUGACAGAGGCAUAGUGUUGGAAACUUUAAGUUAUUGUUGAGGGGGCGACAAAGGUGAUAGAGAUGAGUGAAAAGAGUGGGAGCUAAUGACAGAAAUGGCCCAGCCAACUGCCCAACUUGCCUGCAAAUCUCCAAACUCUCUUUGGUAAUAUUAAAAGCAAAAGGCGGUUGAAUCAGAUACAACCUAACAUUCUUGAUAUCAUUGAGGAGGCCGUUAACAGUUUUCUUAUCGUUUCUCCGACUCCCUCGGUGAACGUGGUGGAUCUGUGUCCCUUUUUGAUAUCAGUUUUCUUAUCUGUUUACCGCGAAGCUAAAUUUUUUACUUUGCCACUUCCAUUCAGUUUUACAUAUGAUAUGCUUAAAUUCUAUA